rnacentral:rRNA from 1 species
AUUGAACGCUGGCGGCAGGCCUAACACAUGCAAGUCGAGCGGAUGAAGGGAGCUUGCUCCUGGAUUCAGCGGCGGACGGGUGAGUAAUGCCUAGGAAUCUGCCUGGUAGCGGGGGAUAACGUCCGGAAACGGGCGCUAAUACCGCAUACGCCCUGAGGGAGAAAGUGGGGGAUCUUCGGACCUCACGCUAUCAGAUGAGCCUAGGUCGGAUUAGCUAGUUGGUGGGGUAAAGGCCUACCAAGGCGACGAUCCGUAACUGGUCUGAGAGGAUGAUCAGUCACACUGGAACUGAGACACGGUCCAGACUCCUACGGGAGGCAGCAGUGGGGAAUAUUGGACAAUGGGCGAAAGCCUGAUCCAGCCAUGCCGCGUGUGUGAAGAAGGUCUUCGGAUUGUAAAGCACUUUUGGUUGGAAGGAAGGGCAGUAGGUUAAUACCUUGCUGUUUUGACGGUACCAAAAGAAUAAGCACCGGCUAACUUCGUG